rnacentral:rRNA from 1 species
AUUGAACGCUGGCGGCAGGCCUAACACAUGCAAGUCGAACGAGUGGCGGACGGGUGAGUAAUGUCUGGGAAACUGCCUGAUGGAGGGGGAUAACUAACGGAAACGGUAGCUAAUACCGCAUACCAUCGGAUGUGCCCCGCUGGGAUUAGCUUGUUGGUGGGGUAAAGGCUAACCUAGGCGACGAUCCCUCGCUGGUCUGAGAGGAUGACCAGCCACACUGGAACUGAGACACGGUCCAGACGCCGACGGGAGGCAGCAGUGGGGAAUAUUGCACAAUGGGCGCAAGCCUGAUGCAGCCAUGCCGCGUGUAUGAAGAAGGCCUUCGGGUUGUAAAGUACUUUCAGCUGGGAGGCGUUACCCGCAGAAGAAGCACCGGCUAACUCCGUGCCAGCAGCCGCGGUAAUAG